CCUACGGGAGGCAGCAGUGGGGAAUAUUGCACAAUGGGCGAAAGCCUGAUGCAGCAACGCCGCGUGAGCGAUGAAGGCCUUCGGGUCGUAAAGCUCUGUCCUCAAGGAAGAUAAUGACGGCACUUGAGGAGGAAGCCCCGGCUAACUACGUACCAGCAGCCGCGGUAAUAUGGAGGGUGCUAGCGUUAUCCGGAAUUACUGGGCGUAAAGGGUGCGUAGGUGGUUUCUUAAGUCAGAGGUGAAAGGCUAGGGCUCAACCGUAGUAAGCCUUUGAAACUGGAGAACUUGAGUGCAGGAGAGGGGAGUGGAAUUCGUGGUGUAGCGGUGAAAUGCGUAGAUAUUAGGAAGAACACCGGUUGCGAAGGCAGCUCACUGGACUGUAACUGACACUGAGGCACGAAAGCGUGGGUAGCAAACAGGAUUAGAUACCCCUGUAGUC
rnacentral:rRNA from 1 species